UGCAUCGGAAUCUGCUUUUAGUACGGGAGGUCGUACUCUAGAUCCAUUUCAGAGUUCUUUAACUCCUAAGAUGGUUCAAGCGCUACUUUGCACACAAGAUUGGCUUAGAGCUAAGGGAGUGCCAAUCGUUGAUGUGGAAGAAAAUUUGAAAGAGUUAGAGGAAAUAGAGAAAGAGGUGCAACGUGGUGAAUCUAACGAUGUAGACGAUGAAGUUGUUUUCGUGGACUCAUUAGUGUGAAUCACGCAAUCAAAGGGAAAACAACUCAUCAAAAUUCAAGUUGUC